UACGGAGGGGGCUAGCGUUGUUCGGAAUUACUGGGCGUAAAGCGCACGUAGGCGGAUUGCUAAGUCAGGGGUGAAAUCCUGGAGCUCAACUCCAGAACUGCCUUUGAUACUGGCGAUCUUGAGUCCGGGAGAGGUGAGUGGAACUGCGAGUGUAGAGGUGAAAUUCGUAGAUAUUCGCAAGAACACCAGUGGCGAAGGCGGCUCACUGGCCCGGUACUGACGCUGAGGUGCGAAAGCGUGGGGAGCAAACAGG
rnacentral:rRNA from 1 species